GGGCCGUUAGCUCAGCUGGUAGAGCAGUUGACUCUUAAUCAAUUGGUCCUAGGUUCGAAUCCUAGACGGCCCACCA
rnacentral:tRNA from 4 species